rnacentral:rRNA from 1 species
CAAUAGCGUAUAUUAAAGCUGUUGCGGUUAAAAAGCUCGUAGUUGGAUUUCUGUCAAGGACAACUGGUCCGCCCUCCGGGUGAGCACAUAGUUUGGUCUUGGCAUCUUGUUCAAAACUGUUACUGCGCUUGGUUGUGUGGUGCAGUUUUGGGCACUUUCACUUUGAGGAAAUUGGAGUGUUUCAAGCAGGCACAUGCCUUUGGACACAGUAGCAUGGAAUAAUUAGAUUGGGCUUUUGCUCCAACUUGUCGGUUCCUGGAGCUGAGGUGAGAAUCAAUGGGGAUUGUUGGGGGCAGCUGAAUUUAGCCGUCAGAGGUGAAAUUCUUGGAUCUGCUAAAGACGGACAACUGCGAAAGCGUUUGCCCAGGAUGUUUUCAUUGA